AGCGAACGCUGGCGGCAGGCCUAACACAUGCAAGUCGAACGAAGUCUUCGGACUUAGUGGCGGACGGGUGAGUAACACGUGGGAACGUGCCUUUAGGUUCGGAAUAACUCAGGGAAACUUGUGCUAAUACCGAAUGUGCCCUUCGGGGGAAAGAUUUAUCGCCUUUAGAGCGGCCCGCGUCUGAUUAGCUAGUUGGUGAGGUAAAGGCUCACCAAGGCGACGAUCAGUAGCUGGUCUGAGAAGAUGAUCAGCCACAUUGGGACUGAGACACGGCCCAAACUCCUACGGGAUGCAGCAGUGGGGAAUCUUGCGCAAUGGGCGAAAGCCUGACGCAGCCAUGCCGCGUGAAUGAUGAAGGUCUUAGGAUUGUAAAAUUCUUUCACCGGGGACGAUAAUGACGGUACCCGGAGAAGAAGCCCCGGCUAACUUCGUGCCAGCAGCCGCAGUAAGAC
rnacentral:rRNA from 1 species